ensembl:lncRNA
AGCUCUCAGCAGCCAAUCAGAGGCUACGCAGGCCACGCUCAGCCUGUCGGCUCAGAGGUGAAGUGCAGGCGCGCUGCUCUUCCGGUCCCUUCUGAUGUCAGCCAGAGAAACGAGGGAAGUAGCAUGCUAAGAGGAAGAGAAAACCAGGAUAAAACCUCGGAGUUUACCUGUGAAAAGGAAAAAAAACAGUUGGAGCACUUACCCAGUGGAGGUCCGGAGCCAAGUGACUGAACGAAGGAGAGAGUUACGCAGGCUAACCACUUGCCUUUCACCCAGAGAGCCGCAGCAAGGUCCGACAUCAGCGUGCUCCGCCUUGAUACACAGAGAGUAACGGUGGAAGCUGAAUUAGUGAGGAUGACUCCUGCUCCUGUCAUCUCUAAGCUCCUCACACAUCUUUACCUGCACAUGAGGAAAAUCACUCCUGUAGAAUGCAGAUGUUCAGAGGGAGAUGAUGCCACAUCUGGUCCAGCUGAUGGAAGGUCUUGAAGUUCUCUGACUGGCCUCGACUGAAGAUGGUCGUCUCACUGGAUUUAAGAUGCACAAUGAGGGACGUCUGCAGAGACUGAGAAAGAGUCUCACCACAUCCUGACAUGAGGAAAAAGACUUUAUUGAAGACUACAAUGAGAAAAACUAUCAGACAGCAGACGGCUGCAUUCAAGAGAAGAAGACCAUCAAACAUCCACGUCAGCUGAUGGAGGUCCAAGAGUCUCACUGAACAAACAACCUACAGAGUGAAGACCUCAAAUCUGAUUGGACGGCCUCCUAUUCAGCUACAUGUUUGAACAAAUGCCUCUAAGUUGAUUUGUUUUCUAAAAUAAAUCUAGUUUGAGUCCUAAUCUAUGCCUGUGUGUUUGCUUCUUUACACCGCUGUUAACAGUUUAGGCUGUUAGAUUGUUCCAGAUAAGACAAGUACAAGAUUCUUCAGAGCCGUUGUACCACGAGCCUGACAGGAAGAACUCCAACAGCUACUGAAUGUUCCUGUGGUUCCCUCAAGGCUACAGGAGGAGCCCUACGAGGACGAGCCGGUGCACCUGAUGGCGGCCAGUCGCUGUGGUUCAAAGCCAAUACCGACUACGUGGACUUCUACUGGACCACACGGAAGCCUUCAAACCAGACCAACAAGUUCAGCGACUCCCCGACUCGUGGGUCUGAGGACGCCGCCGAGCCUCGGCUCAGCCGGCCUCCUGUCUGUGGGUGUUUGAGUGCUGAGAGGUUUGUGGAUGCAUGUGAAUGUGUCUGUGUUGAAACAGCAGCUUUUGACUCAGUAACGCCGGGAAAAACCAAGAGCUCCUUUAUCUGUGACUUCCACUAAAAAACUGAAGAAAAUAAGUUUGCCAGAGUUCUGACUGACAACAGAUUAUUAAAUAAUGAAAAUAAUCGUUUAAAUAUUCCUUUAAACAAUCCUUUUAGGUCUACAUUUCCUUUACACUGACUUCUUGGUAUAUGUACAAGUAUUUUGGGUGGAAUAUACCAUCAGACCAACCUCCAAGGUUUACAGUAGUGAAUUUUAGGUGGAAUAUACCAUUAAACUCACCUUUUAGGUGUACAAUUUUAGGUGGAAUUUUCUUCCAAACUGUCUUUUACUCUACAUUUAAGGAUGUUUAGGAUGGUAUAUUCUUCCGACCCAACUUCUCAG